UUUCUUCUAUUCUUCUCUCUAUACGUUAGUGUUCUAACCAAUAAUCACCGAUGCGAUGUUCUGUCUGAUCGAUUCAGAAACCAUCUAAUAAAUGCCAAAGUGUUGUACUUUGUGAAUUUUGUUAAGGUUCGAAUCUCGUGACUACCGAUUUGGGUUUUACACAAAUACGUAUUCCAUUCUGUUAAACUAUAUGAAUACUCCCAACUACACACUUACAAUCAAAAAAGAUGUUAAAUCAUCAGAAGAUUCAGAACAAUAAAGUAUACGCUUAAUUAUCAGAAGGAAUAGAAUCAAGAAGCUUGCUAAAUCAUGUUUAUACAGUAAUUACAGUAGAUUGGAGUA
rnacentral:lncRNA from 1 species